UAAUAAGGAAAAUUGGGCAUGGGGUAUGUGGCUUUUCUGUUAUUUUCACACUUACUCUGUAUAUUUAAAACUGUUCUAACUUUAUUAAGAAGACACAAAAUACCAAGUAGUGAGUUCUGGGAGACGACAGAGUGGAACACUGAAUGGGAGUGGCCAUGAGGAAUGACUUGGAGGAAUCACCUUCUCCCUGCCAUGUGUUCCAUAAGAAUUAAACCAGAGGAUAUGAGAAAGAAUAACAGAUCAGUUUGAGAGGGCUCUUUAGGGGUUGUUGAGAAAGCUCCCCCUUUCUCUAACCAGAGCAUCUAGACUCUGCUUUCUUCCCCUCCUCCCAUGGAUUUGUCAGCGCUCUGUGGUGCUUUGUGAUGGCAUGUCACUCCAGCGCUACCAUUGGCUGGAGUAAUUUCCUGCUGACCAAUCAAAGCCAAAGGGUGUGGCUCCUUAUUGUCCUCAAAGGCUAUAUAGAGAGAGGUCAGUAACCCUGGAGUGGGCCACUGUUGCUACAACAUGGCAGAGAUUACUGAGGCUCUGGAGGAGUCUAGCUCAUAUCCCGAAGCAGAAACUUCAGACGCAAAAGAACAAACUCUGAGCAUCGAAGGGAGGGAGCAGACCCCAUGUCAACUCAAGGACAAAGAGAUGGAGAAGAUUAGGAAGAUACUCAGGAAGGUUAAAUUAGCCCGGAAACUGACUAUGGAAAGACGAAAUAAAGGGAGAAAGUCAAUAAUGCUAGUCUGUUACCACAGACAUGGUAAAAAGAAGAAUGAAAAUCAGCCAAAGAAGGAUUAAGAAAGCCUGUCUCCCCCUUCCCUGUGCGUACCAGGAGUCAGAGAUCUUGAAGCAUCUGUUCUGUCUCCAUAAAAAUCUCUGGGAUCAAAAUUUUGUGUUAAUGGUUGUCUGUGAGAGGACCAAAUAAAGUAUGCUGAUGUUGCUGAUUAAAACACCAACAAGUUGUACAAAG